rnacentral:rRNA from 1 species
GGGAGGACAGGUGGUGGCAUGGUUGUCGUCAGCUCGUGUCGUGAGAUGUGGUUAAGUCCCGCAACGAGCGCAACCCCUACGUUAGUUGCUAACAGGUGAAGCUGAGCACUCUAGACGAACUGCCGUUGACAAAACGGAGGAAGGUGGGGAUGACGUCAAAUCAUCAUGCCCCUUAUGUUCUGGGCUACACACGUGCUACAAUGGCCGGUACAGACGGAGGCGAAGCCGCGAGGCGGAGCAAAUCCGAAAAAGCCGGUCUCAGUUCGGAUUGCAGGCUGCAAUUCGCCUGCAUGAAGUCGGAAUCGCUAGUAAUCGCAGGUCAGCAUACUGCGGUGAAUACGUUCCCGGGCCUU